GACGAACGCUGGCGGCGCGCUUAACACAUGCAAGUCGAGCGAAGCGGCGGACGGGUGCGUAACACGUGAGUAACCUACCUCAGACAUUGGGAUAGCCUCGGGAAACCGGGAUUAAUACCCAAUGGUCUAAGAUGGAUUCGCGUCCCAUUAGCUAGUUGGUGAGGUAACGGCCCACCAAGGCGACGAUGGGUAGCCGGCCUGAGAGGGUGAGCGGGCAAAGUGGAACUGAGAAACGGUCCAAACUCUACGGGAGGCAGCAGUGGGGGAUAUUGCACAAUGGAGGGAUCUCUGAUGCAGCGACGCCGCGGGAACGAAGAAGGCGUGCGAGUCAUAAAGUUCUUUUAUAUGGGAAGCGGUACCAGAAGAAGAAGCCCCGGCUAACUACGUGCCAGCAGCCGCGGUAAUAC
rnacentral:rRNA from 1 species